GGCUCAGGAUAAACGCUGGCGGCGUGCCUAAUACAUGCAAGUCGAUCGCUGGAAUUCCAGCUUGCUGGAAUGAAGGAGAGGCGAACGGGUGAGUAAUACAUAAGCAACCUGCCCACGAAGACUGGGAUAAUCCUGGAAACGGGGACUAAUACCGGAUAGGUAGUGUGAUCGCAUGAUCGCACUAUUAAAGGUUCAAGACACUGGUGGAUGGGCUUAUGGCGCAUUAGCUGGUUGGUGAGGUAACGGCCCACCAAGGCGAUGAUGCGUAGCCGGCCUGAGAGGGUGAACGGCCACAUUGGGACUGAGACACGGCCCAGACUCCUACGGGAGGCAGCAGUAGGGAAUUUUCGGCAAUGGGCGCAAGCCUGACCGAGCAACGCCGCGUGAAGUGAAGACGGCCUUCGGGUUGUAAAGCUCUGUUGUAAGGGAAGAAUUGGCAGGAGAGAAUCGUGCAGUGACGGUACCUUACCAGAAAGCCACGGCUAACUACGUGCCAGCCGCAGC
rnacentral:rRNA from 1 species